rnacentral:rRNA from 1 species
AACUUGUGACAAUGGGGGCAACCCUGAUCCAGCCAUCCCGCGUGUGCGAUGAAGGCCAUCGAGAUGUCCAGCACUUUUGGCCGGAAAGAAACGGCUCUGGCUAAUAUCUGGAGACACUGACGGUACCUGCAGAAUAAGCACCGGCUAACUACGUGCCAGCAGCCGCGGUAAUACGUUGGGUGCAAUCGUUAAUCGGAAUUACUGGGCGUAAAGCGUGCGCAGGCGGUUCGGAAAGAAAGAUGUGAAAUCCCAGGGCUUAACCUUGGAACUGCAUUUUUAACUACCGGGCUAGAGUGUGUCAGAGGGAGGUGGAAUUCCGCGUGUAGCAGUGAAAUGCGUAGAUAUGCGGAGGAACACCGAUGGCGAAGGCAGCCUCCUGGGAUAACACUGACGCUCAUGCACGAAAGCGUGGGGAGCAAACAGG